GUCAUUGUCAUCUUUAACUUGGACAAGCCCAUCAUCGCCGCCAGUAACAACUGAGAAUCUGGCAAAUGUAUACGUUUGUGAACUUGAUGGAAUAGAAAUUAGCAGAGAAAGUUCCCUAAAGGAGGCAAUGGUUUUGUUCGAAGACUUCGCCGAUCUGUGUCAAAACAUAACAAAAGCUAUCAUAGGCCAACUUUCUAAGGAAGAAAUAAAGGAAAGAACAGAAGCCAUCUUUCGGGUGGCAGUCGCCUUCGAGAAAUUUGUUCUUAAGUACAGCAAGUAUCAUCUGAAUGAGAGAAGACCUUCCAAAAAGAUUACUAACCAAAAAAUGGGUGAGUUAAAACCCG